rnacentral:rRNA from 1 species
ACGGUCCUAAGGUAGCGAAAUUCCUUGUCGGGUAAGUUCCGACCUGCACGAAUGGCAUAAUGAUGGCCAGGCUGUCUCCACCCGAGACUCAGUGAAAUUGAAAUCGCCGUGAAGAUGCGGUGUACCCGCGGCUAGACGGAAAGACCCCGUGAACCUUUACUAUAGCUUGACACUGAACAUUGAAUUUUGAUGUGUAGGAUAGGUGGGAGACUUUGAAGUAGUCACGCCAGUGAUUAUGGAGUCGUCCUUGAAAUACCACCCUUUAACGUUUGAUGUUCUAACGAAGAUUACGAAACGUGGUCUCGGACAGUGUCUGGUGGGUAGUUUGACUGGGGCGGUCUCCUCCCAAAGAGUAACGGAGGAGCACGAAGGUUUGCUAAUGACGGUCGGACAUCGUCAGGUUAGUGCAAUGGUAUAAGCAAGCUUAACUGCGAGACAGACAAGUCGAGCAGGUACGAAAGUAGGUCAUAGUGAUCCGGUGGUUCUGAAUGGAAGGGCCAUCGCUCAACGGAUAAAAGGUACUCCGGGGAUAACAGGCUGAUACCGCCCAAGAGUUCAUAUCGACGGCGGUGUUUGGCACCUCGAUGUCGGCUCAUCACAUCCUGGGGCUGAAGUAGGUCCCAAGGGUAUGGCUGUUCGCCAUUUAAAGUGGUACGCGAGCUGGGUUUAGAACGUCGUGAGACAGUUCGGUCCCUAUCUGCCGUGGGCGUUGGAGAAUUGAUUGGGGCUGCUCCUAGUACGAGAGGACCGGAGUGGACGCAUCACUGGUGUUCCGGUUGUGUCGCCAGACGCAUUGCCGGGUAGCUACAUGCGGAAGAGAUAAGUGCUGAAAGCAUCUAAGCACGAAACUUGCCAAGAGAUGAGUUCUCCCACACAUCAAGUGUGUAAGGGUUGUUUAAGACUAAGACGUAGAUAGGUGCGGUGUGUAAGUGUAGUGAUACAUUGAGCUAACGCAUACUAAUUGCCCGAGAGGCUUAGCCAU